GAUGAACGCUGGCGGCGUGCCUAAUACAUGCAAGUCGAGCGAACGGACGAGAAGCUUGCUUUUCUGAUGUUAGCGGCGGACGGGUGAGUAACACGUGGAUAACCUACCUAUAAGACUGGGAUAACUUCGGGAAACCGGAGCUAAUACCGGAUAAUAUUUUGAACCGCAUGGUUCAAAAGUGAAAGACGGUCUUGCUGUCACUUAUAGAUGGAUCCGCGCUGCAUUAGCUAGUUGGUAAGGUAACGGCUUACCAAGGCAACGAUGCAUAGCCGACCUGAGAGGGUGAUCGGCCACACUGGAACUGAGACACGGUCCAGACUCCUACGGGAGGCAGCAGUAGGGAAUCUUCCGCAAUGGGCGAAAGCCUGACGGAGCAACGCCGCGUGAGUGAUGAAGGUCUUCGGAUCGUAAAACUCUGUUAUUAGGGAAGAACAUAUGUGUAAGUAACUGUGCACAUCUUGACGGUACCUAAUCAGAAAGCCACGGCUAACUACGUGCCAGCAGCCGCGGUAAUACGUAGGUGGCAAGCGUUAUCCGGAAUUAUUGGACGUAAAGCGCGCGUAGGCGGUUUUUUAAGUCUGAUGUGAAAGCCCACGGCUCAACCGUGGAGGGUCAUUGGAAACUGGAAAACUUGAGUGCAGAAGAGGAAAGUGGAAUUCCAUGUGUAGCGGUGAAAUGCGCAGAGAUGUGGAGGAACACCAGUGGCGAAGGCGACUUUCUGGUCUGUAACUGACGCUGAUGUGCGAAAGCGUGGGGAUCAAACAGGAUUAGAUACCCUGGUAGUCCACGCCGUAAACGAUGAGUGCUAAGUGUUAGGGGGUUUCCGCCCCUUAGUGCUGCAGCUAACGCAUUAAGCACUCCGCCUGGGGAGUACGACCGCAAGGUUGAAACUCAAAGGAAUUGACGGGGGCCCGCACAAGCGGUGGAGCAUGUGGUUUAAUUCGAAGCAACGCGAAGAACCUUACCAAAUCUUGACAUCCUUUGACAACUCUAGAGAUAGAGCCUUCCCCUUCGGGGGACAAAGUGACAGGUGGUGCAUGGUUGUCGUCAGCUCGUGUCGUGAGAUGUUGGGUUAAGUCCCGCAACGAGCGCAACCCUUAAGCUUAGUUGCCAUCAUUAAGUUGGGCACUCUAAGUUGACUGCCGGUGACAAACCGGAGGAAGGUGGGGAUGACGUCAAAUCAUCAUGCCCCUUAUGAUUUGGGCUACACACGUGCUACAAUGGACAAUACAAAGGGCAGCGAAACCGCGAGGUCAAGCAAAUCCCAUAAAGUUGUUCUCAGUUCGGAUUGUAGUCUGCAACUCGACUACAUGAAGCUGGAAUCGCUAGUAAUCGUAGAUCAGCAUGCUACGGUGAAUACGUUCCCGGGUCU
rnacentral:rRNA from 1 species